rnacentral:rRNA from 1 species
GACGUAGGGGGCAAGCGUUAUUCGGAAUUAUUGGGCGUAAAGCGCUCGUAGGCGGGACUGGAAGUCCGUGUUGAAAGACCUCGGCUCAACUGAGGGACCGGCUCGGAUACUCUAGUUCUUGAGGCAAUCAGAGGGUGAUGGAAUUCCCGGUGUAGCGGUGAAAUGCGCAGAUAUCGGGAGGAACACCGGUGGCGAAGGCGGGUCUCUGGGCCGAUACUGACACUGAGGAGCGAAAGCGUGGGGAGCGAACAGG